ACCAAGGAGUCUAACAUGUGCGCGAGCCGCGGGGCAGUACGAAACCCGUAAGGCGAAAUGAAGGUGAACGCCGGCGCGGUCCGGCGGAGGUUGGAUCCCGUCCCGUCGGGGCGGGCGCACUACCGGCCGAUCUUCUCCGCCCUGUCGGCGAGGUCGAGCGAGAGCGUGCAAGUCGGGACCCGAAAGAUGGUGAACUAUGCCUGAGGAGGUUGAAGCCAGAGGAAACUCUGGUGGAGGACCGUAGCGAUUCUGACGUGCAAAUCGAUCGUCAAAUUUGGGUAUAGGGGCGAAAGACUAAUCGAACCGUCUAGUAGCUGGUUCCCUUCGAAGUUUCCCUCAGGAUAGCUGGCGCUCUGUCGCAGUUUUAUCUGGUAAAGCGAAUGAUUAGAGGUCUUGAGGGGCGAAACGCCCUCAACCUAUUCUCAAACUUUAAAUUGGUAAGAAGCCCGACUCGCUCGUUUGGAGCCGGGCAUGGAAUGCGAGUGCCAAGUGGGCCACUCUUGGUAAGCAGGACUGGCGAUGCGGGAUGAACCGAACGCCGGGUUAAGGCGCCCGACGCGACGCUCAUCAAG
rnacentral:ncRNA from 1 species